rnacentral:ncRNA from 15 species
ACCUUGAAGGCUCAAUAGUUAGAGCGCCAAGUCUUGUAAACUUGGAGAGAGGGUUAAAGUCCCUCUCAAGGCU